GGACGGACGGGCCCUUCCAGCCCUAAGGAGGCCGCCCGCGCUCUCUCCCGGCGACCUGGAAGCUUGGCCACGCUGCGCCAGCCUCCUCUGGCCUCCAACAGCGCACACGCUCUGGAAAGGUCCAAGAGGCUCCCCCACCCCCAGGGCAGCCGGGCCUGCGGCGCGGAGGCGGAGGGACGGCCAGGAGGGCAGGAAGCCCGGGAGGCAGGCUGUGUGCAUUUUGGAGAUGAGGAAACUGAGGAUUGAAAUGUUUA